rnacentral:rRNA from 1 species
CACCUACGGGAGGCAGCAGUGGGGAAUAUUGCACAAUGGGGGAAACCCUGAUGCAGCGACGCCGCGUGAGUGAAGAAGUAAUUCGUUAUGUAAAGCUCUAUCAGCAGGGAAGAAAAUGACGGUACCUGAGUAAGAAGCCCCGGCUAACUACGUGCCAGCAGCCGCGGUAAUACGUAGGGGGCAAGCGUUAUCCGGAUUUACUGGGUGUAAAGGGAGCGUAGACGGCAGUGCAAGUCUGGAGGGAAAGGCGGGGGUGC